UACGGAGGGUGCAAGCGUUGUUCGGACUUAUUGGGCGUAAAGCGCGCGUAGGCGGCUUUGUAAGUUAGAGGUGAAAGCCCGGAGCUCAACUCCGGAACUGCCUUUAAGACUGCAUCGCUAGAAUUGUGGAGAGGUGAGUGGAAUUCCGAGUGUAGAGGUGAAAUUCGUAGAUAUUCGGAAGAACACCAGUGGCGAAGGCGACUCACUGGACACAUAUUGACGCUGAGGUGCGAAGGCGUGGGGAGCAAACAGG
rnacentral:rRNA from 1 species